rnacentral:rRNA from 1 species
AGCCCCGUACACAAAAAUGCACAUACUGUGAGCUCGAUGAGUAGGGCGGGACACGUGGUAUCCUGUCUGAAUAUGGGGGGACCAUCCUCCAAGGCUAAAUACUCCUGACUGACCGAUAGUGAACCAGUACCGUGAGGGAAAGGCGAAAAGAACCCCGGCGAGGGGAGUGAAAAAGAACCUGAAACCGUGUACGUACAAGCAGUGGGAGCCUCUUAAUGGGGUGACUGCGUACCUUUUGUAUAAUGGGUCAGCGACUUAUAUUCUGUAGCAAGGUUAACCGAAUAGGGGAGCCGAAGGGAAACCGAGUCUUAACUGGGCGUUAAGUUGCAGGGUAUAGACCCGAAACCCGGUGAUCUAGCCAUGGGCAGGUUGAAGGUUGGGUAACACUAACUGGAGGACCGAACCGACUAAUGUUGAAAAAUUAGCGGAUGACUUGUGGCUGGGGGUGAAAGGCCAAUCAAACCGGGAGAUAGCUGGUUCUCCCCGAAAGCUAUUUAGGUAGCGCCUCGUGAAUUCAUCUCCGGGGGUAGAGCACUGUUUCGGCAAGGGGGUCAUCCCGACUUACCAACCCGAUGCAAACUGCGAAUACCGGAGAAUGUUAUCACGGGAGACACACGGCGGGUGCUAACGUCCGUCGUGAAGAGGGAAACAACCCAGACCGCCAGCUAAGGUCCCAAAGUCAUGGUUAAGUGGGAAACGAUGUGGGAAGGCCCAGACAGCCAGGAUGUUGGCUUAGAAGCAGCCAUCAUUUAAAGAAAGCGUAAUAGCUCACUGGUCGAGUCGGCCUGCGCGGAAGAUGUAACGGGGCUAAACCAUGCACCGAAGCUGCGGCAGCGACACUAUGUGUUGUUGGGUAGGGGAGCGUUCUGUAAGCCUGUGAAGGUGGCCUGUGAGGGUUGCUGGAGGUAUCAGAAGUGCGAAUGCUGACAUAAGUAACGAUAAAGCGGGUGAAAAGCCCGCUCGCCGGAAGACCAAGGGUUCCUGUCCAACGUUAAUCGGGGCAGGGUGAGUCGACCCCUAAGGCGAGGCCGAAAGGCGUAGUCGAUGGGAAACAGGUUAAUAUUCCUGUACUUGGUGUUACUGCGAAGGGGGGACGGAGAAGGCUAUGUUGGCCGGGCGACGGUUGUCCCGGUUUAAGCGUGUAGGCUGGU